UACGUAGGAAGCGAGCGUUGUUCGGAGUUACUGGGCGUAAAGGGUGCGUAGGCGGUUGUUUAAGUUUGGUGUGAAAUCUCCCGGCUCAACUGGGAGGGUGCGCCGAAUACUGAAUGACUAGAGUGCGGGAGAGGAAAGUGGAAUUCCUGGUGUAGCGGUGAAAUGCGUAGAUAUCAGGAGGAACACCGGUGGUGUAGACGGCUUUCUGGACCGUAACUGACGCUGAGACACGAAAGCGUGGGUAGCAAACAGG
rnacentral:rRNA from 1 species